CCUACGGGAGGCUGCAAUGGGGAAUAUUGGACAAUGGGGGGAACCCUGAUCCAGUCAUGCCGCGUGUGUGAAGAAGGCCCUCGGGUUGUAAAGCACUUUCAGUGAGGAAGAACGCCUGGUGGUUAAUACCCAUCAGGAAAGACAUCACUCACAGAAGAAGCACCGGCUAACUCCGUGCCAGCAGCCGCGGUAAUACGGAGGGUGCGAGCGUUAAUCGGAAUUACUGGGCGUAAAGCGCGCGUAGGUGGCUUGAUAAGCCGGUUGUGAAAGCCCCGGGCUCAACCUGGGAACGGCAUCCGGAACUGUCAAGCUAGAGUGCAGGAGAGGAAGGUAGAAUUCCCGGUGUAGCGGUGAAAUGCGUAGAGAUCGGGAGGAAUACCAGUGGCGAAGGCGGCCUUCUGGACUGACACUGACACUGAGGUGCGAAAGCGUGGGUAGCAAACAGGAUUAGAUACCCGAGUAGUC
rnacentral:rRNA from 1 species